UACGGGGGGAGCAAGCGUUGUUCGGAUUUACUGGGCGUAAAGGGCGCGUAGGCGGCCACCGCAAGUCAGUUGUGAAAUCUCUGGGCUUAACCCAGAACGGUCAGCUGAUACUGCGGGGCUAGAGUGCAGAAGGGGCAACUGGAAUUCUCGGUGUAGCGGUGAAAUGCGUAGAUAUCGAGAGGAACACCUGCGGCGAAGGCGGGUUGCUGGGCUGACACUGACGCUGACAGCGCGAAAGCUAGGGAGCGAACGGG
rnacentral:rRNA from 1 species